rnacentral:lncRNA from 1 species
AGAGUGACAAGUAACAUAUAGUACCCCUCCCCUUAGACGAUCCCCCAAAUUUAUUUCACAUAUAUAGAGUUAACGAGUUAUACAAACAUUACAAGUAAAAAUAAAGAACGAAUAACCAUAUAUAACAAUAAAAUGAACGAGGCUUCGUCCACAAUUUCUUCUAGGCAAAUCUUCAACAUCUUGAACUAUAAGUUCAAAACCUGGUAGAAGAGGCAAUGUAAAACAUAUACGAUGAGAAAAUAAUUGUAAUAUAGUAGAAUUAUAGUAGCAAAUUACUCACAUACAUGUAAAUAACACAAAAAAGAGAUUAAGAAUAACCAUAAUUAUAUUAUCAAACGUAACAGGAUAAUGAAACUAACUUGGAUGCUUUCUUUGUUGUUUCGUUUCUCAACACAAAUAAAAAAAUCAAAUUGAAAUUAAUAAAGAGGAUUAACCAAUUCUACAGAAAAGAUUAUCAACUUGUAUUAUAAGAAUGAGUGAUGAGUUGAGAGACUGAAUGUGUGUAUGAGCAAUGAGAGAAUGAGAGAAAUUAUAGCAAGAGUUAGUGUUAGUUGGGAGCAUAUCAGUUUUUCUCAAAGAUGUGGAUUUUUUUGUCAAUGAAUGAGAGAAAGGUCUAAUUAUAUAGCAAAGAGGAGGAAGCAAAAUAAGGAAAAAAUAAAUUAAGGAAUUAAAUAAAUAUACUAUCUUCCUUAUUCAAAAAGGAGAUUCAAAUCAGCCAAAAUUUAAAAAUAUCAUUACCAAAUAUAAGCAAGUAAGAACAGUUAGGAAGAGUAAUAUAUAUUUUCCUUAAAUAAAGAGAAGCCAAAAUCAGAAAAUAUUAUUCUACCAUAAAUAAGCAAGUAAGAAAUCAAUAAACUUACAAAUAAGAAAAAAUAGAUCAAUUAAAAUUAUUUUCUUUAUUUCAAAGGAGUGAAAAUCAGAAAAUUUUAAAAAUAUACCAUUAUCAAAAAUAAAUAAGUAAGAAUAAAGUUAGGAAGACAAUAUUCUUUUACCGUAAAAUAAAAAAGAGCCAAAAACAAACCAUAUAAUAUAAACAAGUAUGAAAUUAAUCCAUUUCCAAAUAAAAAAAGGGAUCAAUUAUAUAUUUCCUUAUUUUAAAGGAGACAAAAUUAGAUUUAUACAGAUCUUAUUAUCAAAUAUAAAUAAGUAACAAUAAAAUUAGGAAGAACAAUAUACUUUCCGAAAAUAAAGAAGAGUCAAUAUCAUAAGAUUUUAUUAUUAAAUUAUUUUACCAAAUAUACGCAGCUAAAUAUUACAAGGAAAUACUCUGAAGUUGUCAUAAUAAAGCAAGCAAUGGCAAUCAUAUAAAACUAAUCACCUUACUCCAAUGUUUACCUUAUAUUAAUUAGAAGAUUUUCAUAAAUAAAUAGAAAAUGAAAAUUAAUUAGGACAAGUAUUAAAGGAAGGAGCCACGAGAAUGCAGUAGUUCAAUAUUUUGAAGCAUUAAAUUAUCACCUAUGCAUGAUCAAAAAAUUAAAAAUAUAUAAUUAAGAGAGUAGAUUGUCAUGCCUUAGUUUCCACAGGAAACAAAAUAAAUUAACUUUCAAAAAGGAAGAUAAUCAAUUUAGGGGGUAAUUAAGGAGAAGAUAAAUAUUCACAACUUACUAAUUAGAUUCAGUAAACUAAAAUUUCAUUUUAAUAAAGAAAAAAUUAAAUAAAUUAGUCAUUCUAUGAAAAGAGAAAAAUAUGAAAUCUGAAUGAACACAGUAUGAAAUCAGAAUGAACAUAAUAUGCUAUAAUCAAACUAAACGGGAAAUAUUGCAUUCAAGCUCGAUUUCAAAAUUCAUGGCGAAACUAAGGAAGGUAACGAACAAAUUCGCCACUUAAACAAGAAAUUUAUCCCAAUUAUAUUGAUAAAAUGCUAGCACGUAACAUUCACAAACACACUUGAAUAUGGAGCAAUAUUCACAUGAACAUUAAAACAACUAUCACAUAUACCUAACAUGCAUAACAACCUCUAUAUCCUAAAAUCCCAAACAACUUGUGAAUGAAAAAUACAAACAAAAUUACUAUUAAAUGAGAUGAUAAUUUUAAAGUAUGUACCUGGACGGAUCUGUCAAGAUCCGUCUUAAUAAACUCAAAAGCUUCAACAUUAUUUUCUGAAAUUCCAUGUCGA